rnacentral:rRNA from 1 species
UACGUAGGGCGCAAGCGUUGUCCGGAAUUAUUGGGCGUAAAGCGCGCGUAGGCGGCUUGUUAAGUCUGCUGUGAAAGCCCUGGGCUCAACCUGGGAAUGGCAUUGGAUACUGGCGAGCUAGAGUGCGGUAGAGGGUAGUGGAAUUCCCGGUGUAGCAGUGAAAUGCGUAGAUAUCAGGAGGAACACCGGUGGCGAAGGCGGCGACCUGGGUCGAUACUGACGCUGAGGUGCGAAAGCGUGGGGAGCAAACAGG